AUCAUCUGCGAGCAUGAUGAACUUCCCUGAAUAAACCACUAGAGUGGAUCUUGCUAGAAUGUGAUGACUCCCAACUCUCGAAGGCCUUGCAAGACCAGUUUCACAAUGCAACCUGCUUUGUUUUGAGUCCUAGCAUUGAUAUUAUGUUUUCUUGAAUUAAUAUGUAGCCAUCAUAUUAUAUCAUGUAAUUAGUUGGAUAUCUUUAUGACUCUAUCUAUGGAAAAUUUCUUGGUAGGUCAACCAUGGAUUGUAAAACCAAUUUGAAAGAUGAUUAUCUUUUAGCUUUUACUGGAGCAUGUAUUCUUUUUCUGCUAUUUCUUUCUACAAAACAAGGUGCAAGGUUUUUUGAUGG
rnacentral:lncRNA from 1 species